rnacentral:rRNA from 1 species
GUUGAUCCUAGCUUAGGAAUGAACGCUGGCGGCGUGCUUAACACAUGCAAGUCGAGCGAAGCAUUAAAACCGAUUCUUCGGAUUGAAGUUCUAAUGACUGAGCGGCGGACGGGUGAGUAACGCGUGGGUGACCUGCCUCAUACAGGGGGAUAACAGACAGAAAUGUCUGCUAAUACCGCAUAAGCGCACAGUGCUGCAUGGCACAGUGUGAAAAACUCCGGUGGUAUGAGAUGGACCCGCGUCUGAUUAGCUAGUUGGUAAGGUAACGGCUUACCAAGGCGACGAUCAGUAGCCGGCCUGAGAGGGUGAACGGCCACAUGGGACUGAGACACGGCCCAAACUCCUACGGGAGGCAGCAGUGGGGAAUAUUGCACAAUGGGGGAAACCCUGAUGCCAGCGACGCCGCGUGAAGGAAGAAGUAUUUCGGUAUGUAAACUUCUAUCAGCAGGGAAGAAAAUGACGGUACCUGACUAAGAAGCCCCGGCUAACUACGUGCCAGCAGCAGC